GCGGGUGUAGUUAAAUGGUAUAACCCCAGCCUUCCAAGCUGAUGUCGUCGGUUCGAUUCCGGUCACCCGCUCCA
rnacentral:tRNA from 1 species